rnacentral:rRNA from 1 species
UUAAGCGACUAAGCGUACACGGUGGAUGCCUAGGCAGUCAGAGGCGAUGAAGGGCGUGCUAAUCUGCGAAAAGCGUCGGUAAGCUGAUAUGAAGCGUAAUAACCGACGAUACCCGAAUGGGGAAACCCAGUGCAAUUCGUUGCACUAUUGCAUGGUGAAUACAUAGCCAUGCAAGGCGAACCGGGGGAACUGAAACAUCUAAGUACCCCGAGGAAAAGAAAUCAACCGAGAUUCCCCCAGUAGCGGCGAGCGAACGGGGAAGAGCCCAGAGUCUGAAUCAGUUGGUGUGUUAGUGGAAGCGUCUGGAAAGUCGCACGGUACAGGGUGAUAGUCCCGUACACAAAAACACACUGGCUGUGAACUCGAUGAGUAGGGCGGGACACGUGACAUCCUGUCUGAAUAUGGGGGGACCAUCCUCCAAGGCUAAAUACUCCUGACUGACCGAUAGUGAACCAGUACCGUGAGGGAAAGGCGAAAAGAACCCCGGCGAGGGGAGUGAAAUAGAACCUGAAACCGUGUACGUACAAGCAGUGGGAGCACCUUCGUGGUGUGACUGCGUACCUUUUGUAUAAUGGGUCAGCGACUUAUAUUUUGUAGCAAGGUUAACCGAAUAGGGGAGCCGUAGGGAAACCGAGUCUUAACUGGGCGUCUAGUUGCAAGGUAUAGACCCGAAACCCGGUGAUCUAGCCAUGGGCAGGUUGAAGGUUGGGUAACACUAACUGGAGGACCGAACCGACUAAUGUUGAAAAAUUAGCGGAUGACUUGUGGCUGGGGGUGAAAGGCCAAUCAAACCGGGAGAUAGCUGGUUCUCCCCGAAAGCUAUUUAGGUAGCGCCUCGUGAACUCAUCUUCGGGGGUAGAGCACUGUUUCGGCUAGGGGUCCAUCCCGGAUUACCAAACCGAUGCAAACUCCGAAUACCGAAGAAUGUUAUCACGGGAGACACACGGCGGGUGCUAACGUCCGUCGUGAAGAGGGAAACAACCCAGACCGCCAGCUAAGGUCCCAAAGUCAUGGUUAAGUGGGAAACGAUGUGGGAAGGCAUAGACAGCCAGGAUGUUGGCUUAGAAGCAGCCAUCAUUUAAAGAAAGCGUAAUAGCUCACUGGUCGAGUCGGCCUGCGCGGAAGAUGUAACGGGGCUAAACCAUGCACCGAAGCUGCGGCAGCGACGCUUAGGCGUUGUUGGGUAGGGGAGCGUUCUGUAAGCCGUUGAAGGUGGCCUGUGAGGGCUGCUGGAGGUAUCAGAAGUGCGAAUGCUGACAUAAGUAACGAUAAUGCGGGUGAAAAACCCGCACGCCGGAAGACCAAGGGUUCCUGUCCAACGUUAAUCGGGGCAGGGUGAGUCGACCCCUAAGGCGAGGCUGAAAAGCGUAGUCGAUGGGAAACAGGUUAAUAUUCCUGUACUGGGUGUGACUGCGAAGGGGGGACGGAGAAGGCUAGGCUAGCCGGGCGACGGUUGUCCCGGUUUAAGCAUGUAGGCGGAGUGACUUGGUAAAUCCGGUUGCUUAUCAACGCUGAGGUGUGAUGACGAGCCACUACGGUGGUGAAGUAGUUGAUGCCAAGCUUCCAGGAAAAGCCUCUAAGCAUCAGGUGACAUUCAAUCGUACCCCAAACCGACACAGGUGGUCAGGUAGAGAAUACUCAGGCGCUUGAGAGAACUCGGGUGAAGGAACUAGGCAAAAUGGUGCCGUAACUUCGGGAGAAGGCACGCUGGCAUUAGGUAAAGAGACUUGCUCUCGGCGCCGAAGCCAGUCGCAGAUACCAGCUGGCUGCAACUGUUUAAUAAAAACACAGCACUGUGCAAACACGAAAGUGGACGUAUACGGUGUGACGCCUGCCCGGUGCUGGAAGGUUAAUUGAUGGGGUCAGCCGCAAGGCGAAGCUCUUGAUCGAAGCCCCAGUAAACGGCGGCCGUAACUAUAACGGUCCUAAGGUAGCGAAAUUCCUUGUCGGGUAAGUUCCGACCUGCACGAAUGGCGUAAUGAUGGCCAGGCUGUCUCCACCCGAGACUCAGUGAAAUUGAACUCGCUGUGAAGAUGCAGUGUACCCGCGGCAAGACGGAAAGACCCCGUGAACCUUUACUAUAGCUUGACACUGAAUAUUGAGCCUUGAUGUGUAGGAUAGGUGGGAGGCAUCGAAGCGUGGACGCCAGUCUGCGUGGAGCCAACCUUGAAAUACCACCCUUUAAUGUUUGAUGUUCUAACUCGGCCCCAUAAUCUGGGGUGAGGACAGUGUCUGGUGGGUAGUUUGACUGGGGCGGUCUCCUCCCAAAGAGUAACGGAGGAGCACGAAGGUUAGCUAAUCACGGUCGGACAUCGUGAGGUUAGUGCAAAGGCAUAAGCUAGCUUGACUGCGAGAGUGACGGCUCGAGCAGGUACGAAAGUAGGUCUUAGUGAUCCGGUGGUUCUGAAUGGAAGGGCCAUCGCUCAACGGAUAAAAGGUACUCCGGGGAUAACAGGCUGAUACCGCCCAAGAGUUCAUAUCGACGGCGGUGUUUGGCACCUCGAUGUCGGCUCAUCACAUCCUGGGGCUGAAGUAGGUCCCAAGGGUAUGGCUGUUCGCCAUUUAAAGUGGUACGCGAGCUGGGUUUAGAACGUCGUGAGACAGUUCGGUCCCUAUCUGCCGUGGGCGUUGGAAGAUUGAGAGGGGCUGCUCCUAGUACGAGAGGACCGGAGUGGACGCAUCACUGGUGUUCGGGUUGUCAUGCCAAUGGCAUUGCCCGGUAGCUAAAUGCGGAAAAGAUAAGCGCUGAAAGCAUCUAAGCGCGAAACUUGCCUCGAGAUGAGUCUUCCCUGGGGCUUUAAGCCCCCUGAAGGAACGUUAAAGACUAUGACGUUGAUAGGCUGGGUGUGUAAGUGCAGCGAUGCAUUGAGCUAACCAGUACUAAUGAUCCGUGAGGCUUAACCUU